CACGGGCGGCCGCCUGCGGUACGCUCUGGUGGGAUGGAGGGCUUCGGCUGAGAAUCCUGAGUGGCAGAAAUGCUCCUAAAGCAAGAAGUACUUCAAACUUUGGAAGAUGGAGGUGUGUCAAAAAGAUGCAACCCUUCCCAAAGUAAAUGGCAUAACAGAACCGGGAAGGGGGAGGAGCUGUGCAAUGUGGGUCACCAAGGGCAGGGAAAAGAACUGAAUGGUUUAUGGAGAAGGGGAGCAGCAUGGAGGGAUUCCUUAUGUGUCAUGUUUGAGGAAAGGACUUGCCAUUGUCAUCCAGGAUGUUCUGUAACUGCUCUGGAAAAGGAUUCUGGUUGGGCUGUGGGCUCUGUCCAAGGUCAGCUUCAAGUCAGUGGAACAAAUCCUACCCUUGCCUCUUGGGAGGUGAUGCCUAUGGAUACUUUGCUGGUCCUCACAGGGAAGGGUGCUGCUUCACUGAGACCACGUUGCUAGAGGAAGACAGCAGCGAGAGAGGUGGGGAAACUGAGUCACAGAGAGAAGAGAUGGUGUCACUUAGUUCACCUGUUACGGAUAGUGGAAGAGGUGACACUGAGAUCCUGGCUGGCUAAACUCUGUUUGGGAGGCUCAUUCUCUGGAUUGCCACCCGUUCCUGAAAACCUGAGGCAUGAAGGCAUGAUUGUCCCACUUCACUCACCUCUUCUGCCUGGCUUGCUGAUCCAGUCUCCUGGAAGGUCUUUCUGAGUCACUUGUACCCUCCAGAACCUCUUACCAAUCUACACAAGCUCAUUU